rnacentral:rRNA from 1 species
GACCGAUAGUGAACCAGUACCGUGAGGGAAAGGCGAAAAGAACCCCGGCGAGGGGAGUGAAAAAGAACCUGAAACCGUGUACGUACAAGCAGUGGGAGCCCCACCACUAAGCCAGUGGUGAACUCCACAUACGCAUCCUUUGCUGAGGAUACGGUUAACGGAGCGAAAGCGACGUUCAACCUCAAAAGAAGCAGAGGGGGCUUAGUGGUGGGGUGACUGCGUACCUUUUGUAUAAUGGGUCAGCGACUUAUAUUCUGUAGCAAGGUUAACCGAAUAGGGGAGCCGGAGGGAAACCGAGUCUUAAUUGGGCGUUAAGUUGCAGGGUAUAGACCCGAAACCCGGUGAUCUAGCCAUGGGCAGGUUGAAGGUUGGGUAACACUAACUGGAGGACCGAACCGACUAAUGUUGAAAAAUUAGCGGAUGACCUGUGGCUGGGGGUGAAAGGCCAAUCAAACCGGGAGAUAGCUGGUUCUCCCCGAAAGCUAUUUAGGUAGCGCCUCGUGAAUUCAUCUCCGGGGGUAGAGCACUGUUUCGGCUAGGGGGCCAUCCCGGCUUACCAACCCGAUGCAAACUGCGAAUACCGGAGAAUGUUAUCACGGGAGACACACGGCGGGUGCUAACGUCCGUCGUGAAGAGGGAAACAACCCAGACCGCCAGCUAAGGUCCCAAAGUCAUGGUUAAGUGGGAAACGAUGUGGGAAGGCCCAGACAGCCAGGAUGUUGGCUUAGAAGCAGCCAUCAUUUAAAGAAAGCGUAAUAGCUCACUGGUCGAGUCGGCCUGCGCGGAAGAUGUAACGGGGCUAAACCAUG